rnacentral:guide_RNA from 1 species
AAACUGAAGGGGAGGUAGUUCCCCGAAACUCGAUAUAGAG